rnacentral:rRNA from 1 species
UGGGGAAUAUUGGGCAAUGGGCGAAAGCCUGACCCAGCAACGCCGCGUGAAGGAAGAAGGCUUUCGGGUUGUAAACUUCUUUUAUGUGGGACGAAAAAAAUGACGGUACCACGUGAAUAAGCCACGGCUAACUACGUGCCCGCAGCCGCGGUAAUACGUAGGUGGCAAGCUUUGUCCGGAUUUACUGGGUGUAAAGGGCGCGUAGGCGGGAAUGCAAGUCAGAUGUGAAAGCCGGGGGCUCAACCAAUGAAAGGCAUUUGAAACU